rnacentral:rRNA from 1 species
UACGUAGGGGGCUAGCGUUGUCCGGAAUCAUUGGGCGUAAAGCGCGUGUAGGCGGUUCGGUAAGUCCGCUGUGAAAGUCGAGGGCUCAACCCUCGAAAGCCGGUUGAUACUGUCGGGCUAGAGUCCGGAAGAGGCGAGUGGAAUUCCACGUGUAGCGGUGAAAUGCGUAGAGAUGUGGAGGAACACCAGUGGCGAAGGCGACUCUUUGGCCUGUAACUGACGCUGAGGCGCGAAAGCGUGGGGAGCAAACAGG